rnacentral:rRNA from 1 species
UACGUAGGGUGCGAGCGUUAAUCGGAAUUACUGGGCGUAAAGCGUGCGUAGACGGUUAUGUAAGUCGGGUGUGAAAUCCCCGGGCUUAACCUGGGAACUGCAUUUGUGACUGCAUCGCUGGAGUGCGGCAGAGGGGGAUGGAAUUCCGCGUGUAGCAGUGAAAUGCGUAGAUAUGCGGAGGAACACCGAUGGCGAAGGCAAUCCCCUGGGCCUGCACUGACGCUCAUGCACGAAAGCGUGGGGAGCAAACAGG